ACUGAUAUGAAGAGCUUGCUCGGAUUUGAAGAUGAACAUUGCAAAGAGUGGCGAACGGGUGAGUAACACGUGGGAAACCUACCUCUUAGCGGGGGAUAACACUUGGAAACAAGUGCUAAUACCGCAUAAUACUGAUAACCGCAUGGUUAUCAGUUGAAAGAUGGUUCUGCUAUCACUAAGAGAUGGUCCCGCGGUGUAUUAGCUAGUUGGUAAGGUAAUGGCUUACCAAGGCAAUGAUACAUAGCCGAGUUGAGAGACUGAUCGGCCACAAUGGGACUGAGACACGGCCCAUACUCCUACGGGAGGCAGCAGUAGGGAAUCUUCCACAAUGGACGAAAGUCUGAUGGAGCAACGCCGCGUGUGUGAUGAAGGGUUUCGGCUCGUAAAACACUGUUGUAAGAGAAGAAUGACAUUGAGAGUAACUGUUCAGUGUGUGACGGUAUCUUACCAGAAAGGAACGGCUAAAUACGUGCCAGCAGCCGCGGUAAUACGUAUGUUCCAAGCGUUAUCCGGAUUUAUUGGGCGUAAAGCGAGCGCAGACGGUUGUUUAAGUCUGAAGUGAAAGCCCACAGCUUAACUGUGGAAGUGCUUUGGAAACUGGAUAACUUGAGUGCAGUAGAGGAGAGUGGAACUCCAUU
rnacentral:rRNA from 1 species